rnacentral:rRNA from 1 species
UACGUAGGUGGCAAGCGUUGUCCGGAUUUACUGGGCGUAAAGCGUGCGCAGGCGGACAAGUAAGUAGGAAGUGAAAGGUUGGAGCUCAACUCCAACACUGCUCCCUAUACUGCUUGUCUUGAAUGUCGGAGAGGAAGAGGGAACGACACGUGUAGCGGUGAAAUGCGUUGAGAUGUGUCGGAACACCAAUGGCGAAAGCACUCUUCUGGACGAAUAUUGACGCUCAGGCACGAAAGCUAAGGUAGCAAACAGG